AGCAGUAGCCGCGGUAAUACGAGGGGAGCUAGCGUUGUUCGGAAUUACUGGGCGUAAAGCGCGCGUAGGCGGCUUUUUAAGUCAGAGGUGAAAGCCCGGGGCUCAACCCCGGAAUUGCCUUUGAAACUGGAAAGCUAGAAUCUUGGAGAGGUCAGUGGAAUUCCGAGUGUAGAGGUGAAAUUCGUAGAUAUUCGGAAGAACACCAGUGGCGAAGGCGACUGACUGGACAAGUAUUGACGCUGAGGUGCGAAAGCGUGGUGAGCAAACAGGAUUAGAGACCCCUGUAGUCCCUGUCUCUUAUAC
rnacentral:rRNA from 1 species